rnacentral:lncRNA from 1 species
AAUAGAUGAAAAGAUUAAAACCAAAAAGUUUUUUAAAAGGAAAGAUCGUUCUGCAAAUAAAACUGAAUCAAUUUUGAAAAAUCUGCAAAACGAAGAACGUUCUUCAGGUUGUUCUUAAAACGAAGAAUGUUCUGAAACAAAAGCGGAUCAUUCUACAACAAGUCUGGAAAAAGGAGAACGAUCUGAAAUUUCAUCAAAAUCAAUUUCAAAACCGUUUAAAACUCAGAUUUUGAAAACUUCUCCAAGACCAACAACAAAGUGUUCCUAUUGUUCCAAGAAAGGCCACUUCGAGUCAACUUGCUAUUUUAAAAAGAGAUCAAGUUUUAAAAAAUCUUCUAAAAGAAGAUAUACUAACC